ensembl:lncRNA
AUGGGCGGGGCCUCCCUUCCUCUCUCAGUCUACCUCUGGAGUCCCCCGCCGGCGCAUCGCCUCGCGCCCCAACCCCGCCUUCCCUCUUCUCUUUCUCUCUUCACCCCUUCCCUCCCCCUUCAUCUUGCCCAUAGCGGACAUGCUACGGGAAAUGACGCACCACAUAGGCGAGCAACCUAUGGCGAGGGAGAACGAAGCCAGACAGCCAAUCGGACGCCGACAUGUGGGCGGGGUUAUCACGAGACCUCCAGGUCCCUCAUCUCCCCGACUUCCCCUCCCCUUUCCUCUCCGCCAUGGAAUCUCCCUCCCGUUUCAAGACGCUCUGGCCGUUACCUGAGCGGGAGCCAGCGUCUCUCGCGCGCCGCUCGAAAGGACCCGGAUGGAGUCGUCUCUGGCGGCAUCAGGAGAGGCUGAGGAUGGAGAUACUGCUCCUGCAGCAGCGCUACCGCCUUUCGCCGCAUUGGAUCACGGGAAGGAGGGGGAAGAACCGCUCUCGCUUCAUGCCCCUCCCAUCUUCCUGAAGCGGGGAAGCUCAGCCUUUCCGCCGUCUGACGAGGGCCGUGACCUGUCCGUCACCGACAGUUCUCUGCAGUCAUUGGAGCACACUGGCAACAGCCCCGCCUCCAUAGAACAGCCUCUUUUCUGAUUGGGCGGGUUGCCAUGUCAACCUGACAAGUCCCCACCUCAAAUUGUAUGGACUUCGCGUUUCUCCUGCUGCUAAGAAAGCCAACUAGAUUUUGGCCUGCAUCAAUAGGGGUAUAACGUCUAGAUCCAGGGAAGUCAUGCUCCUCCUCUACUCUGCCUUGGUCAGGCCACACCUGGAGUACUGUGUCCAAUUCUGGGCACCGCAAUUGAAGGGAGAUGUUGACAAGCUGGAAAGCGUCCAGAGGAGGGCAACUAAAAUGAUCAAAGGUCUGGAGAACAAGCCCUAUGAGGAGCGGCUUAAAGAGCUGGCCAUGUUUAGCCUGCAGAAGAGAAGGCUGAGAUGAGACAUGAUAGCCAUGUACAAAUAUGUGAGGGGAAGUCAUAGGGAGGAGGGAGCAAGCUUGUUUUCUGCUGCCCUGCAGACUAGGACGCGAAACAAUGGCUUCAAACUACAGGAAAGGAGAUUCCACCUGAACAUCAGGAAGAACUUCCUCACUGUGAGGGCUGUUCAGCAGUGAAACUCUCCCCCAGACUGUGGUGGAGGCUCCUUCCUUGGAGGCUUUUAAGCAGAGGCUGGAUGGCCAUCUGUCGGGGGUGCUUUGAAUGCGAUUUCCUGCUUCUUGGCAGGGGGUUGGACUAGAUGGCCCACGAGGUCUCUUCCAACUCUACUAUUCUAUGAUUCUAUGAUAGGAGUGGCCAAAUAUUUAUUCUUACUUUUUGCAAACCAUGUGAUUUUACUGUCUACAGCUGUUGCUCUUCUCGUGCAUGAAAUCUCAAGUUUGCAUUAAAUACAUAGAAAAGAAGAAGUUGAUGUGAGGAUACACAAGCUGUUAUGACUGGCUUCCUUCAACCUUGAUGCCAAGGGAACUCCCACACCACACAUCAGUUCCCCUAUUUUUCCUUCUUCCGCCAAUGGCAUGACUCUUCGUGAAAUUACAAUACAAUUAAGCAUAAUUACAAUCUGAUUCUGAGAUAUGAAUCAUACUCUUAGGCCCCUUCCACACAGCUAUAUCAAAUCCACAUUGAACUGGAUUAUAUGGCAAUGUAGACUCAGAUAAUCCAGUUCAAAGCAGAUAUUGUGGAUUAUCUACCUUGAUAUUCUGGGUUAUAUGGUUAUGUGGAAGGCCCCUUAAUUCCACCUUUGUUGGUUUCUGGCUUUAAGUUAUUUGUAACAUACGCUGGUCAUAAUACAAACCCAUUAGAGUUUUUGUGACAAAAUCAUAAUAAGUAGUAUAGCAAAAUUAGUAAACUGUUUCUGGGGAGGGGGAAGGGAGAAAAAGGGGAAAUGACGUAAAACUGGUCACAGGAUGAUGAAGAAAACAAAAUGAGUAAUGUCUCGUAAACACCAAAGCAGCUAAAUAGUUUAAAGAGCAAAAUUCAGUGCGGCAGUCUGUAACUCAAAGUUAUAUCUGCAAAUCUUGUAAGAGGUGCCCUGGAAAGGGCUUGGGUAACGUAGAAAAGCAUACCCUUUAGUUUCACUUACUUUCGAAAACCUUAGGCUGAUUGUUAUGUAUAAGAUUAAUGAGACUUUUAGUUACAGUCAAUUUUUAUUGUGUUUAAACUACAGAACUGCUGAAGAAACCACGAAAAAAUGAUUAUAUGCUUGACCAUAUUGAGGUAUAAUUAUUCAAUAGUAUUCCUGUACCUUUGUACUUGUCAAGUGAAUUAAAAAAACAAAAACAAGAUUUGUUCUGAAGAGGUUUCCCCUUGCCUUGUGACUUUACAAUAACUUCUAAUACAUUUGGCACUGCUGAUUAUGGGAUGUUGGAUCACUACUGCAGAAAAAUUCAGGACUAAAAUGCUGCAUGUUUAAUUCAUUGAUUUUUGUCAGCAACCUCUCUAUCAUGUGAAAAGGUUUGGAUAUAAAGAAAAAGCCAAUUAUAACAUUGAUUAUAGUCCAGAAAUAUAGAUUUAGGUGUGGAGAUUUUGGAAUGAGACCGGAAUUCAGAGUACCUAAUCUAAAAACUGGAUUAGGCUCAGGAUCUGGUGAUCUGUGUGGAAGAACUGUCUGUAGUUCCGUUGUCAUGGGCUGAUCACUACCUGAUGGGUUUUAGGGCCCUUCCAGACAGGCCCUAUAUCCCAGGAUAUGAUCCCAGGUUUUCUGCUUAAAACUGGAUUAUAUGAGUCCGCACUGCCAGAUAAUCUGGGAUGAACAGAAAACCUGGAAUCACAUCCUGGGAUAUAGGGUCUGUCUGGAAGGGCCCUUAGAUUCACUGGGACUAGUAUCUGCACAUGUAGCGGGCCUAUUAAGUCCCAGGAGACUUACAGAUCCGGAUGGAUUCCUGGUGUCUCUUGGUGAAUUUUCUGUUGAAGCCCUGCCAGAUCUCUGGAAUACAAAAAUGUCCAAGCACAUGAUUGCCCCUAUGUGUCCCUUCCUUAGCUCCCACAAAAUGAAGCUAAGCAGGCCUCCUGGUUUGCUAGGAGUGAGAUGAAAUGGGUGGACAGAAGACUACAGUGACUGCUAUGGCCAGCAGUCUGUCUGACCUGCCUCAGCUACUGUUGCAGAAGCAGAUACUUCCCAGUAUUUUCAGCAACCUCAAAGGGUUAAUCAUACCUCAUUCUAUGAAACAGAGUUUCCCAAACUGUACUCCAGAUUUCAACUCCCACAAGUCCUAACAGCUGGUAAACUGGUUGGGAUUUCUGGGAGCUGAAGUCCAAAACACCUGGAAGAGCACCGUUUGAGAAACAUUGCUUUGAAACAAGGAAAGUAUUGCAGGCUUCAGUGAUUAGAGUUGGAGGCUUGAUGAGACAAGCUCUAGCUGAGACUUCUAAAUAAUGAAGCUUCUGUGGAGUAGCUUUGGAUAGCAGACAACUUUGUAUUCUGCAGCCCUUCCAUUUUUACAGUAUUCCUGAAUUUUGACUUCCAGUUGGACUCCUGGCUUAUGACUUCUGGACUCUGAAUUUGGCUUUAUUUUCAAGAAAUCCUGGCAUUUGACCUUGGCUACCUUUGUUGUAUUCUUGCACUGCACUUUUUGUAUGUUGUGCUACUUUUUGGACACUCAGCAUUUCAGACCCUGGAUUGUGGGCUUGAUUUUGCUAAUUAGACUCUGAACUCGCCUUGGCUCACUCUUAUCAGUUUGUGUUUGUAUUUUUAAGGACUUAAGAAUUUGGGUUUCUUUGUUAAUGAACUCUGGUCUUUAGCUUAUCCUUUUAUUAUGUGUUUAAACUUCAGCCCUGAUAUCGGGNNNNNNNNNNNNNNNNNNNNNNNNNNNNNNNNNNNNNNNNNNNNNNNNNNNNNNNNNNNNNNNNNNNNNNNNNNNNNNNNNNNNNNNNNNNNNNNNNNNNNNNAACAUAGGCUCUAGCGUAUUGGGAAACUUGUGCCAUGGCAUUAGUAUUGUAUCUACGCCACAGCCUGGUAGUGGAACCUGGUUGUGGCACAGCUGGUUAGUAGCCAGCUGCAAUAAAUCACUACUGACUGAGAGGUCAUGGGUUCGAAGCCAUUCUGGGUCGGAGUGAGCUCCCUACCAUUAAAUAGUCUAGCUUGCUGUUGACCUAUGCAGCUUGAAAGACAGUUGCAUCCGCCGAGUAGGAAAUUUAGGUACCGCUUUAUGCAUUUGACUAAUUUACAACACCAUAAAACCUUCCAGCAGCAUGCAGAAGAAUGAGGAAGUACUCCAUCAAGGACUCGGUGUGACAAGUGGACGAUGAAGUGGCCGGAAUCGAGCAUACCCUCAUGAAGCUGGAAGCUGGAAUGUUAAAUUGCCUCUGUGUCUGUCUAUAUAUGUUGUAUGUCUAAUGACACUGAAUGUUUGCUAUAUAUAUGUGCAUUGAGAUCUGCCCUGAGUCCCCUUCGGGGUGAGAAGAGCAGAAUAUAAAUACUAUAAAUGAAUAAAUACAUAAAUACACAAAUCUGUUCAGUAUCAUCCAAUAGAGCUGUUUCAAAUGGUUAGGUGCUCAGAAGAAAACUACUUGAAAGCCAGCUGUGAUUAAUUGCAAGACAUUUUGUAUAUAAAAUAUCACUCAGAUUGUGGUGCCUGCUUGUCCAUCUAGGAUAAAUGUCAGUUUGUACAAUGUGAGGAUG